AGCGAACGCUUGCGGCAGGCCUAACACAUGCAAGUCGAACGAAGCCUUCGGGCUUAGUGGCGGACGGGUGAGUAACACGUGGGAACGUACCUUUUGGUUCGGAACAACUCAGGGAAACUUGAGCUAAUACCGGAUGAGCCCUUAGGGGGAAAGAUUUAUCGCCGAAAGAGCGGCCCGCGUUAGAUUAGGUAGUUGGUGAGGUAAAGGCUGACCAAGGCAACGAUCUAUAGCUGGUCUGAGAGGGUGAUCAGCCACACUUGGACUGAGACACGGCCCAGGAUCGUGCGGCAGGCAGCAGUGUGGAUUUUCGCGGAAUUGGCGAAAGCCUGACGCAGCAUUGCCGCGUGGAUGAUGAAGGUCUGAGGGUUGUAAAAUUCUUUUAUCGGGGAACAUAAUUGUGGUACCUGGAGAAAAAGCCCCGGCUAAGUGCGUUCAAGCCGCCGCGAUCACAG
rnacentral:rRNA from 1 species